CUCUGAAGCUGUCAAGGAGAAAGGGAGAGAUGGAGAGCUGUCAAGGUCGGGGCCGACGAGGUUACCAUCUUCCCCUAACCCAAACCCAGAUCCCACCCCAAAUCAGCCACUCCCAUUCCCACCAGGUGCCUCUCUUCUCUUCCUCCGCCGCUCUCUCUAUUUCUAACCUACAAGCAUGCAUAAAAAACAAAGCACCCACCAAUCCUGAGAACACAUCACUAACAAAAGUUCAAAAAUCCAUCUCCCAGUUUACCUCACUUUUCUAAGAAAAUGGAACCUUUAGAAUAUCAAAAAAAUUCAUUUCCUUUCUCCCACAUUUUCCGAGCAACCAAACAAAGCAAAACCAUUCAAUUUUUCCCAGAACAAAAAAAAAAAAAAAAAAACCCAAGUUGUAUUCACAAGAGACUCGGCAGCGGUGGUGGGCGCUGGAUUGCUGCUGCGUUUUGCUGGGCUUAAAGAUGGUGCUAGGCUGCAGAAGUAGAUGGAGGUGGCAGAGGCGGUCCUCAACUUCUGCAAACCCGACGACGAAGUCGAUUACUUGGUAAUCAUGGGGCAACAAGACUGUCAAGGAUUCGCAGAAGUAUUCGAACCCAUAUAGGUAGUUUGGUAAGGAAGGGGAUGAGAUCAAUGGAGGGAGUGGGUACUCGGAGAGGGGUGAGGUUGGUGUGCUAGAGAUCGGCGACUUUGAUGUCGUCAGUUAGAAUGGGGAAGAAGGUGAUGGUCAUUGGUGGAUGGAGUCGACGAUGAAGA
rnacentral:lncRNA from 1 species